rnacentral:rRNA from 1 species
CCUACGGGAGGCAGCAGUGGGGGAUAUUGCACAAUGGGGGGAACCCUGAUGCAGCGACGCCGCGUGGGUGAAGAAGCGCCUCGGCGCGUAAAGCCCUGUCAGCAGGGAAGAAAAUGACGGUACCUGAAGAAGAAGCCCCGGCUAACUACGUGCCAGCAGCCGCGGUAAUACGUCGGGGGCAAGCGUUAUUCGGCUUUACGGGGUGUAAAGGGGGCGCAGACGGCGAUGCAAGCCAGGGGUGAAAGCCCGGGGGCCAACCCCGGGACUGCUCUUGGUACUGCGUGGCUGGAGUGCAGGAGGGGCAGGCGGAAUUCCUGGUGUAGCGGUGAAAUGCGUAGAUAUCAGGAGGAACACCGGUGGCGAAGGCGGCCUGCUGGACUGCAACUGACGUUGAGGCCCGAAAGCGUGGGGAGCAAACAGGAUUAGAUACCCGGGUAGUC